UGGGGAAUAUUGCACAAUGGGCGAAAGCCUGAUGCAGCAACGCCGCGUGAGUGAUGAAGGCCUUCGGGUUGUAAAGCUCUGUCUUCUGGGACGAUAAUGACGGUACCAGAGGAGGACGCCACGGCUAACUACGUGCCAGCAGCCGCGGUAAUACGUAGGUGGCCAGCGUUGUCCGGAUUUACUGGGCGUCAAGGAUGCGUAGGCGGAUACUUAAGUCAGAUGUGAAAAUCCCGGGCUUAACUUGGGAACUGCAUUUGAAACUGGGUAUCUAGAGUGCGGGAGAGGAAAGUGGAAUUCCUAGUGUAGCGGUGAAAGGCGUAGAGAUUAGGAAGAACACCAGUGGCGAAGGCGACUUUCUGGACCGUAACUGACGCUGAGGCAUGAAGGCGUGGGGAGCAAACA
rnacentral:rRNA from 1 species